CUGUCAUCCCGAGCUUUCCUAUUUGCCGGGCACCCGGAUCUUUAACAUUACCCGUGACGUCAGCGGACCGGACACUUCUCAGCUGGCCUUCCCCGCAAAUUUGGCCUUGAAUUCGAUUUUGAGGGUCACGGACUCACGGUUGUAAACAAGUUCAUUUCCUGUUUCUUGCUUGUGUUGUACCUUGGUUGUACCCUCGAGUUGAUUGUUUGAAACCAUUGAAACUUAAAUUGAUUGAAUGAUUCAGGACUUGAUUAAGGAUGUCGUACUGUGCGGUGGCUACAUGCCGAAGUUACCGAAGGACUGGCAAGUUCUGCACAAAAUCGUUUUUUUCGGUUCCCGAAGGAUCCAGCCACAUGUGCGACCUGGGUGCAUAGAUGUUCGAGGCAGGAUCCUAUAAAUGUGUUGCAGGCAAGGAUUUGCUCAGACCACUUUCUUGAUUCAGAUUAUGAUCCUUCCUACCUUGUGAAAGCAUCCCUGAUGCCAGGUGUGAGCCCAUGUCUGAAGACUGAUGCGGUUCCAACACAGAAUCUGCGCAGUGCUGGGUCUUCGGGACCGGCGCAACAAAGCACUCGGGACCAAGACAGACUACAGACCAAGCUCCGCCCAGCUCAGUCCCAUCCAGCUGGGUCCGCGCCCUCAGCCGGGGUAGGCUCACCGUGCCAUCGCCGAACUGGAUGACCAUCGUGGAAGAGUUCGAGGUCAUCUUCCGGUUGAUGAUGGGUGAUACCGUCGACGGUCAGUCCGGUAUCGUGCAGAGGCUGCUGGCGGCACUCCAGGUAAAGCGUCCAUCUCUGGACGCCAGGAUCGCGAGGAAGCUGGUGACGACGCGGGUCCACCUUCGGAUCCGCUCACUAAACCAGCGCCAGGACGAAGUCGCAGCCGAGAGGCGCGCCGCCAAGCAAGUCCGCCAGCACGUCCGGAGUGGUAAAUCGGCAGGAAGCAGCUGAAUCAGGUGGAGAACGCACUGCGUCUGCCGGCGGCGUCCAGUGCCGACAUCUUUACCCCGGCAUCACUCGCCAGUGUGGAGAGCGCCGUCACUUUCUGUCUUCUGAGGCUGUCAGACAGUUCAGCCGGGCAGCGAGCAGCUCCCGGCGCACCAUCACUGGGAGCCAGGCCGGCCUACGCGAGGAGCGGAUCACUUGUGCUUACGACUUCGUCCUGGCGCUGGUUUAGUGAGCGGAUCCGAAGGUGGACCCGCGUCGUCACCAGCUUCCUCGCGAUCCUGGCGUCCAGAGAUGGACGCUUUACCUGGAGUGCCGCCGGCAGCCUCUGCACGAUACCGGACUGACCGUCGACGGUAGCACCCAUCAUCAACCGGAAGAUGACCUCGAACUCUUCCACGAUGGUCAUCCAGUUCGGCGAUGGCACGGUGAGCCUACCUCGGCUGAGGGCGCGGACCCAGGGCGUGAUCACGCGAGCUGCCGGCUUGGCCUCUCUGGACGCGCGCAGUGCUGACCCCUGUUGAACAGUAAUUUUGGUUCAUUCAUUUUGUGCGGAUUCGUGGUUG